AGAGGUGCAAGCGUUAAUCGGAGUGACUGGGGCGUAAAGGGGCGUGUAGGUGGACAGAUAAGUUAUGUGUGAAAUAUCCGGGGCUUAACCUGGAGGGGGUCAUGUGAUACUGUCUGUCUAGAGUAGAGCAGAGGGAAGUAGAAUUUCCGGUGUAGCGGUGAAAUGCGUAGAGAUCGGAAGGAAUACCAGUGGCGAAGGCGGCUUCCUGGGCUCAUACUGACACUGAGGCACGAAAGCGUGGGUAGCGAACAGGAUUAGAUACCCUGGUAGUCCACGCCGUAAACGAUGAGAACUAGAUGCUUGUUUGUUCAUUCAAGUGAGUAUCGAAGCUAACGCAUUAAGUUCUCCGCCUGGGGAAUACGGUCGCAAAGAUUAA
rnacentral:rRNA from 1 species